AUUGAACGCUGGCGGCAGGCCUAACACAUGCAAGUCGAGCGGAUGAAGGGAGCUUGCUCCUGGAUUCAGCGGCGGACGGGUGAGUAAUGCCUAGGAAUCUGCCUGGUAGUGGGGGAUAACGUCCGGAAACGGGCGCUAAUACCGCAUACGUCCUGAGGGAGAAAGUGGGGGAUCUUCGGACCUCACGCUAUCAGAUGAGCCUAGGUCGGAUUAGCUAGUUGGUGGGGUAAAGGCCUGCCAAGGCGACGAUCCGUAACUGGUCUGAGAGGAUGAUCAGCCACACUGGAACUGAGACACGGUCCAGACUCCUACGGGAGGCAGCAGUGGGGAAUAUUGGACAAUGGGCGAAAGCCUGAUCCAGCCAUGCCGCGUGUGUGAAGAAGGUCUUCGGAUUGUAAAGCACUUUAAGUUGGGAGGAAGGGCAGUAAGUUAAUACCUUGCUGUUUUGACGUUACCAACAGAAUAAGCACCGGCUAACUUCGUG
rnacentral:rRNA from 1 species